GGUCAGCGAGUAAACACAUGUAGAUUCACUACCUUUUACGUCAUGUUACUGCAUAUUUGGAGGUUUAAAUAAAUAUAAAGGUCUGACAGCCAACAUACAUUUAAGAUCUUCAACUUAGUUCAUCAGAGUUUUGAAGUAGAUAAUAUGAUUAUCCAGCAUGUUGGAGCCAUAUUCUUCAAGGAAAUGUACUUAACACAUAGAUAGUUCACCUAUUUGCUGAUGAAUAUACUAAACUAUUGUUGGAAAUGAGGCACAAUGUGUGACAAAGUUCUAUGCCCUAUUGAGCACCAGGGUUAUGGAGUAAAAAAGACAAUCACUUGUAUCAACUGUACUGUAUUGGUCAAGAUAAAAAACACUUCAAUUGGGAUGGCAUGUGAGAAGUCAAUGAUUUGUCUAUGUUUGACAGUAUACCAAAAGUGAAUUACAUUCUCAUAGAAUUUGUCUUUAGAAGUAUCCCUAAAAAAGCUGAAUACUACAGUGGGAGGUGUUACAAUAUUUUUACUUAAUUGUGAAACAAGUUUUAUAUAUGAAUCACUUUUUGCUUACAAAAACUGAAAACAUAUGAGGAGACAUUGUUGCUAUUACCCUGUUUGGGUCAAACCCUCAACAUGGGGUUGCAAGACUAUAAUUCAAGGACAUAAAUGAACUCUCAUUUGUGACUUCCCAUGUGAUUGCUAGAAUCUUUUAUUGUAAUUGUUUUAAAUUAAUUGAAAUUAUUUCAAUUUAAAAAUAUACUAAUAUGUUAUUCAUAUUAUACAAUUUAAAAUACACUAAUCAGAAUAUGAUUACACUGUCAAUAUCUGUAACUGAAAAUUUAGUCAGGAACAUAACUAGUGCAAGCCCUUUCUAUUUUUUUUUUUUUUUUUUUGGUUAAAAUUCUGAAAGACUUGAAGUUAUUGUGAAAAGGAAUAUUUUUUUAUAAAAUGCAAUUAUUUUAAAUCACUCAGUUAUUUUUGCAUUUUUUUGUUACCAUGGCAACCAAAAUACACCAUUUUUGCAAUCAGUGCAUUAAAGAAUAUUUGUUUUGCUUUGGAUUCAUAUUUUAUAUGCUAUCAUGUUAUAGAUGUGCAUUUUAAAGUUGACUAACUUAAGUUAUGAUAUUUACCUUAAUCAUGGAAAAGGUACUGUAAUUCUGAGAAUUUAAUUCUUAUGUUUAAAGUUAAUAUCAAUAACUAUUAAGGGGUAAAAUGAAAAAUCCUUUUUUUCUUAAAAGUCUUUAAUAUUGUUGUCUUUUAAUAUAAUAUAUGCAUUAUUUUGGUGAUGAAUUAAUCAGGUUAAGUGCAAAAAUAUUGCAUUUGAUGAUUUUUUUAUAUUUUUGUUGCCAUGGCAACCGAUUUUUUGAAAACAAACGAUUGUUUUUAUAUGAAGAUAUUACAUAA